UACGGAAGGGGCAAGCGUUGUUCGGAAUCAUUGGGCGUAAAGGGCGCGUAGGUGGUUCUGUAUGUCUACCGUGAAAGCGUACGGCUCAACCGUAUUUUGUCGGUGGAAACUGCAGGACUUGAGGCUGGGAGGGGCUGGUGGAAUUCCCUGUGUAGCGGUGAAAUGCGUAGAGAUGGGGGAGAACACUCGUGGCGAAGGCAGCCAGCUAGACCAGUUCUGACACUGAGGCGCGACAGCGUGGGGAGCAAACAGG
rnacentral:rRNA from 1 species